GAUGAAGAACGUAGCGAAAUGCGAUACGUAAUGUGAAUUGCAGAAUUCAGUGAAUCAUCGAGUCUUUGAACGCACAUUGCGCCCCCUGGUAUUCCGGGGGGCAUGCCUGUCCGAGCGUCAUUGCUGCCCUCAAGCACGGCUUGUGUGUUGGGCCUCCGUCCUCCUCCCGGGGGACGGGCCCGAAAGGCAGCGGCGGCACCGCGUCCGGUCCUCGAGCGUAUGGGGCUUCGUCACCCGCUCUUGUAGGCCCGGCCGGCGCUUGCCGACACAUCAAUCAUUUUUCCAGGUUGACCUCGGAUCAGGUAGGGAUACCCGCUGAACUUAAGCAUAUCAAUAAGCGGAGGA
rnacentral:misc_RNA from 1 species